rnacentral:rRNA from 1 species
GAUGAACGCUGGCGGCGUGCCUAAUACAUGCAAGUCGAGCGAACAGACGAGGAGCCUGCUCCUCUGACGUUAGCGGCGGACGGGUGAGUAACACGUGGAUAACCUACCUAUAAGACUGGGAUAACUUCGGGAAACCGGAGCUAAUACCGGAUAAUAUAUUGAACCGCAUGGUUCAAUAGUGAAAGACGGUUUUGCUGUCACUUAUAGAUGGAUCCGCGCCGCAUUAGCUAGUUGGUAAGGUAACGGCUUACCAAGGCGACGAUGCGUAGCCGACCUAAGAGGGUGAUCGGCCACACUGGAACUGAGACACGGUCCAGACUCCUACGGGAGGCAGCAGUAGGGAAUCUUCCGCAAUGGGCGAAAGCCUGACGGAGCAACGCCGCGUGAGUGAUGAAGGUCUUCGGAUCGUAAAACUCUGUUAUUAGGGAAGAACAAAUGUGUAAGUAACUAUGCACGUCUUGACGGUACCUAAUCAGAAAGCCACGGCUAACUACGUG